GGAAGGGUGGCAGAGCGGUCGAAUGCACACGCUUGGAAAGCGUGCGUAGGGCAACCUACCGGGGGUUCGAAUCCCCCCCCUUCCGCCA
rnacentral:tRNA from 1 species